rnacentral:misc_RNA from 1 species
GCAAACUUGGUCAUUUAGAGGAAGUAAAAGUCGUAACAAGGUUUCCGUAGGUGAACCUGCGGAAGGAUCAUUAUGGAGAGAUAAACCCCCCUUUAAAAAAAAAGGGCGAGGGACCUCCUGUCCUUGCAGGCUCCUUUUUUAAGGGGCUUUUUUUGACUUUCUGCUUCGGUGGGGUUAUCCCACCGGAACAACCUCAAAACUCUGAUGAAAAAACUUUUCUGUCUGAGGAUCUUUAUAAUAAAAAAAAACUUUCAACAACGGAUCUCUUGGUUCUGGCAUCGAUGAAGAACGCAGC